rnacentral:rRNA from 1 species
GACGAACGCUGGCGGCGUGCCUAAUACAUGCAAGUCGAACGCUUCUUUCCUCCCGAGUGCUUGCACUCAAUUGGAAAGAGGAGUGGCGGACGGGUGAGUAACACGUGGGUAACCUACCCAUCAGAGGGGGAUAACACUUGGAAACAGGUGCUAAUACCGCAUAACAGUUUAUGCCGCAUGGCAUAAGAGUGAAAGGCGCUUUCGGGUGUCGCUGAUGGAUGGACCCGCGGUGCAUUAGCUAGUUGGUGAGGUAACGGCUCACCAAGGCCACGAUGCAUAGCCGACCUGAGAGGGUGAUCGGCCACACUGGGACUGAGACACGGCCCAGACUCCUACGGGAGGCAGCAGUAGGGAAUCUUCGGCAAUGGACGAAAGUCUGACCGAGCAACGCCGCGUGAGUGAAGAAGGUUUUCGGAUCGUAAAACUCUGUUGUUAGAGAAGAACAAGGACGUUAGUAACUGAACGUCCCCUGACGGUAUCUAACCAGAAAGCCACGGCUAACUACGUGCCAGCAGCCGCGGUAAUACGUAGGUGGCAAGCGUUGUCCGGAUUUAUUGGGCGUAAAGCGAGCGCAGGCGGUUUCUUAAGUCUGAUGUGAAAGCCCCCGGCUCAACCGGGGAGGGUCAUUGGAAACUGGGAGACUUGAGUGCAGAAGAGGAGAGUGGAAUUCCAUGUGUAGCGGUGAAAUGCGUAGAUAUAUGGAGGAACACCAGUGGCGAAGGCGGCUCUCUGGUCUGUAACUGACGCUGAGGCUCGAAAGCGUGGGGAGCAAACAGGAUUAGAUACCCUGGUAGUCCACGCCGUAAAACGAUGAGUUGUUAAGGUGUUGGAGGGUUUCCCGCCCUUUCAGUUGCUGCAGCCAAAACGCAAUAAACCACUCCGCCCUGGGGAGUACGGCCGCAAGGGUGAAACUCAAAAGGGAAUUGACGGGGGCCCGCACAAGCGGUGGAGCAUGUGGUUUAAAUCGAAGCAACGCGAAGAACCUUACCAGGUCUUGACAUCCUUUGACCACUCUAGAGAUAGAGCUUUCCCUUCGGGGACAAAGUGACAGGUGGUGCAUGGUUGUUGUCAGCUCGUGUCGUGAGAUGUUGGGUUAAGUCCCGCAACGAGCGCAACCCUUAUUGUUAGUUGCCAUCAUUUAGUUGGGCACUCUAGCGAGACUGCCGGUGACAAACCGGAGGAAGGUGGGGAUGACGUCAAAUCAUCAUGCCCCUUAUGACCUGGGCUACACACGUGCUACAAUGGGAAGUACAACGAGUCGCUAGACCGCGAGGUCAUGCAAAUCUCUUAAAGCUUCUCUCAGUUCGGAUUGCAGGCUGCAACUCGCCUGCAUGAAGCCGGAAUCGCUAGUAAUCGCGGAUCAGCACGCCGCGGUGAAUACGUUCCCGGGCCUUGCAC